ACUCAAAGGAAUAGACGGGGACCCGCACAAGCAGCGGAGCAUGUGGUUUAAUUCGAAGCAACGCGAAAAACCUUACCAAGACUUGACAUCGUACGCAUAGCAUGGAAACAUGUGAAUCUCUUCGGAGCGUGCAGACAGGUGGUGCAUGGUUGUCGUCAGCUCGUGUCGUGAGAUGUUGGGUUAAGUCCCGCAACGAGCGCAACCCUUGUGAACAGUUGCCCAUAUUAAGUUAGGAACUCUGUUCAGACUGCCGUGGUUAACACGGAGGAAGGUGGGGAUGACGUCAAAUCAUCAUGCCCCUUACGUCUUGGGCUACACACGUGCUACAAUGGCUACUACAAAGAGCUGCGAGCCGGCAACGGUCAGCGAAUCUCAAAAAAGUAGUCUCAGUUCGGAUUGUGGGCUGCAAUUCGCCCACAUGAAGUCGGAGUUGCUAGUAAUCCCAAAUCAGCAUGUUGGGGUGAAUGCGUUCCCGGGUCUUGUACACACCGCCCGU
rnacentral:rRNA from 1 species